CCUGCCCUUCACCUGAGACAGGACCCCACGCCUGCCCUUCACCUGAGACAGGACCCCACGCUCCUCGUACAGGAGAGAGAACUGAGUGAGAGGGUGCGAAGAGGAUGUGUAUCAGUGUCCAGUCGGCUGAAGUUGUCUGCUGCCAAUAUGUGAUGUGUGGAUCUCCACUUGGUCUGGAGUGAAAGCUUAAUAAUCAACCCAGGACCUCCGACAACCCAGACCAUGUCGGUCCCCCAGACGGCAGUCCCCUGAUUGGAGCAGCGAGGCUGGGGAAGCUUUGCCUCAUUAGGCUGCUCCUGGAGGGGGGUGCCCAGGUCAACAAGAGAAACCCAGGAGGAGAGACUCCUCUCCUGGCCGUGUGUAAAGCCCUGAGAGGGGAACCCACUGGACCUGGAACUCUGAAACUGCUCAGAUACCUACUAGACAACCAGGCAGACCCUAAUACCCAGGACCGGUCAGGCCGUACAGCUCUGAUGUAUUCCUGUAUGGAGAGGGCUGGAGCUCAGCUAGCCUCUACUCUCCUCUCAGCUGGAGCUGACCCCAGUAUGGAGGACUACUCUGGAGCUUCAGCUAUGGUCAACGCUAUCAACGCACAGCACCAGCCUACACUACAGGUGCUACAGGACGCAUGUCGCGCCAAAGACCGCGUCAUCAUCAUCGUCGUCAUAAUCAUCAUCAUCCAUCAUCAUCACUACGGAGAUGGGUGUGAGCGGAUGACCGGUGACGAGGCGCUACCUGAACGUUCUGCCGUCUCCCGAUGCAUCACCUGUCACCUGCAUGUCACCCUCUGACAUCAUCAUCAAGACGGGUUCACCCAACUCACUUGAGGGAGAGAAUGUGUUCAAUUUCAGAGGAUCAGGUUGGAGGGUGGGGGGAAGGUGUUAAACAUCUCAGGAACCUGUCUCAUCCUUUCUUAUCUCAUCCCAGGUAAGAGGGGGAGUGGCAGCAGCAGCAGAUUCUCCCCAUGUGAGCUGAGUCCAGUGGACCAGUCCUGUAUCCCCCCUCCCAGACAGCGACAGUGGUCUGAACCAUGGCUAGCUAUUCACAAUCUGUCUUGACUUAACAAGGUCUACCAAGAGGGAAGGAGGGAAAGGAAGGUAGAGGAAGGAGGAAAGGGAGAAAAAGGUUCUCUUCAUCAUGAAGGAGGUGGGAGAUGAUAAAGAGAGUCGAUCUGUCCAUCUCUACCAUAAGGAGAUCUCUUCCGGGGCCUCUUGUUCUCUCGUCUUUCCCACAGAGGAGCACCUUUCCCAGGCAGCCCAGAGCAGACUGUCCCCUGAGAGGAGGCUAGGCCCUGGAGGUUCCACCUUGGAUUUAUACAGAGAACACCCCAGUACUCAAACUGCUUUACAUUAUAGAGGGGGAUCUAAUCUCAUCGGAUGCGACCCAAUGACCCGGAAGUGCUCCGUGGACAGACUUCCUCCCUGCUCUUCCUCGUAGGAACACCCUCCCAUCCUUGACUCCAGCUCCACCCCUUUUUCAUCUGCCUCCCCUAUCAUGUUAUGAGUCUCACCCUCAGGUCCCGCCCCUUGGCCUACCUGGUGUAGGUAUGGGGUUUCGGACGCAGCUGCCCUCCCCCUCUUUCUCCCCCCCCCCCAUUUCUCUUCUCUUUAAAGCAAUAUUUAGACCAGGCUUUCUGCCUCCUCUACCUCUUCCAUUCCUGCUCUCCUUCUCUCAUCCUCUUCUGUUCCCCCUUUCCCUCCCUCCAGUGAGAGGUCACCUCGACGUCACUCUAUUCAGCUGGAGCCGCUGAGAGGAGAGGAGGAGGAAUAGAAGAAGAACAGAGGAGACGAGGGAGAGGAGGAAAGGAGGAGCGGGAGUGAGACCCUAUGUUAGCUGUUAUGGUUUGAUAUGUGUAGUUACUUGUAAUAACCUCUAGAGCAUGCUGGACACUUAUUUAGUGCGUGCUGACCUGAAUGUGUGGAUUCAUAUCAACAGUCUAAAACCGUAAUCUCCAAUCCAAAUAAUUAGUUGGAAUCAUUUGUUUAUUAGAU